rnacentral:rRNA from 1 species
AAACCAGCACCUCAAGUGGUCAGGAUGAUUAUUGGGCCUAAAGCAUCCGUAGCCUGCUCUGUAAGUUUUCGGUUAAAUCUGUAUGCUCAACAUACAGGCCGCCGGGAAUACUGCAGAGCUAGGGAGUGGGAGAGGUAGACGGUACUCGGGAGGAAGUGGUAAAAUGCUUUGAUCUCUCGAUGACCACCUGUGGCGAAGGCGGUCUACCAGAACACGUCCGACGGUGAGGGAUGAAAGCUAGGGGAGCAAACCGGAUUAGAAACCCCGGUAGUCC